UCCCUCACCUUUACCUGAAAACCACACAGACUAGAGUGUGUGUGUGUGUGUGUGUGUGUGUGUGUGUGUGUGUGAGACUCUAAAAACUCGAACACGGCUUAUAUUAUUAUAAAUCAGAUCAAAUUUUUUCCACUGACACGGAGACAAAGUUCCUACAAAAGUUUCUCGUAGAGAUUCUGUUGAGCGAAGUUAAGAGAAGCUCCUCUCACACACACACACACACACUCACACACACACACACACACACACACACACACACACACACACACACACACUCGGCGUCUUAACAUCUUUUGAUCCAAUUUUUUUUUUAUGUAAAGAAUAAAGAUGUUGAUCGAAAUAAAUAUAAUUAGGGUGAAGUAAACGCACACAUUUAACUAAUAAAUUCUUCUUAUUUUUUAUUCGUUUCUUGUACAUUUUCUUUUUCUCCUCCGCUCCUCACUGGCUCAGCGUCAGAAACGUGUAAAUGCGUAACGAGAUCGUAAAUGGAUUCUUUAAAGUCUCCUCUUUCCUCCACAAUAAACAGCGAUUAUGCAAAAAUCUCCUCCGUGUCGGUGUAAAAACUUUCCUCAACUCCACUCCUCCUUUAUCUCCUCCUUACUCUCUCACCCCAUUCCUCCUCCUCUUCUUCUCUUCUCCUGUUGCUGCUUCUCGCUUUCCUCCUUCAUCUUUCUUCUCCUUUUUUUUCACCCCAAUUACUUUCUUCUUCACUCCUUUUUUUAUUUUUAUUCUCCUUUUCUUUUAAUUGUGCUUCCCUUUUCCUCUUACUCCUCUUUUUCCUCCAUCUCUUUCUUCUUCAUUUCUUUCUCCGCCCAUUCUUUCUCGUUCUUCUCCUCUUUCUUCUUCUCGUUCUUCCUUCUCCUGGUUUCUAAGUGGAGUUCUGAUUGUAUUGGUGCUGUUCCGACUCUCUUCUCGUCCUGGUGCGUAACCCCACCAUGUUCUAAACCCCGGUUUACAUCCCGCCCAAAACCAGCAGGGGAACUGAAUCAGCAUGGAGUGUUUACUGUGUACACUUCACACAGCAAUAUCACUUUUUUAUGCUCCAGAACUUGCUGCUAUCCUCCUCACAUCAGCCCUCACUCCAUCCAGACCUUCACUUCCUUUUUUUAUAAAAAAACAAAACAACACUCAACCCAACAGUUUUCCUUUCAUUAACCUGCUUUUACACUCGUCUCAGGCAGGAAAGAACCGCUUCACUCUGAUUGGUCGACAGACUACACUGGAGAACCAAUCAGAGUUUCAAUACGAGUUGAAAAUCCAAACAGGAAAAAUUGGUGAAAUAUUGUCAUUAAUUACAGUAAAAAAAAACUGCAGAAGGUCACGUACGACAAAUUGUGACGAUCGAAUCACUCGGGCCGUUCAGAGACGUUCACACGGAUCACGUCUAAAUUAUUACUGUUUUGUGUUUUAUGGGAUUUUUGAGUGCAGAGUUCUGGGUUUUUUGGUUUGACUUUUUUUAUUGUUUCAUUUGGGUUUUUUUCUUCUUCCCUUUCAGCAAUUUCUUUUUUAGCUUUUCUAUACAAUAAAAUCCAAUACACACACACACACACACGCUUGUACAGAGCGUCUCUGUCCUCAUGCAGAGCAGUAAUGUUUCAGGAUAUUUGUGUAAAUAAACAAGUUUUAUUUAGCGCA